AUGAACGCUGGCGGGUCGUGGUUAAGACAUGCAAGUCGAACGGUUUUUCCAAAUGUAGCAACUACCUUUGAAAAGCAGUGGCGAUACGGGUGCGUAACAACGUGAACAAUCUACCUUUUAGUGUGGAAUAGCUUGCCGAAAGGCAAAUUAAUACCGCAUGUGGUUGCCGCUCUCAUGAGCGACAUACUAAAGUCGGGGACCGCAAGGCCUGACGCUCGAAGAGGAAGGUCGCGGCCUAUCAGAUAGUUGGCGAGGGUAACGGCUCACCAAGGCUAAGACGGGUAGCUGGUCUGAGAGGAUGAUCAGCCACACUGGAACUGAGACACGGUCCAGACACCUACGGGGUGGCAGCAGUUUCGAAUCAUUCACAAUGGGCGAAAGCCUGAUGGUGCGGACGCCGCGUGAGGGACGAAGGCCUUCGGGUAGUAAACCUCUGUCACCGGGGAAAGAAAACGCUGCAUAUUAAUCGUAUGCAGCCUUGACUUAACCCGGAGAGGAAGCAGUGGCUAACUCUGUGCCAGCAGCCGCGGUAAUACAGAGACUGCAAGCGUUAUUCGGAUUCACUGGGCCGUUAAAGGGUGCGAGGGGUUGUGUGUGUCAGAUGUGAAAUCCCGGAGCUUAACUCCGGAACUGCGUCUGAAACUGCACGGACUAGAGCAUUGGAGAGGGGUAGUGGAAUUCACGGUGGUAGCAGUUGAAAUGCGUAGAUAUCGUGAGGAACACCAGAGGCGAAGGCGACUACCUGGACAAUUGCUGACACUCAGGCACGAAGCAUGGGGAGCAAAAGGGAUUAGAUACCCCCUGUAGUCCAUGCCCUAAACGGUGCACACUAGGUCUUGGAGGAUUCGACCCCUUCAGGGCCCCAAGCUAACGCGUUAAGUGUGCCGCCUGAGGACUACGGUCGCAAGACUAAAAACUCAAAGGAAUUGACGGGGGCCCGCACAAGCGGUGGAGUAUGUGGCUUAAUUCGAUGCAACGCGAAGAACCUUACCUAUGCCUUGGACAUGCAUUAGGACGGACCCUGGAAAGGGUCCUUUCCCUUCGGGACUGGUGCACAAGGUGCUGCAUGGCUGUCGUGCAGCUCGUGGUCGUGAGAUGUGUGCGUUAAGUCGCGCAACGAGCGCAACCCCCUGUCCUUAGUUGCCAUCAUUAAGUUGGGCACUCUAAGGAGACAAACCCUCUUUGAGGGUGGGAAGGUGGGGAUGACGUCAAGUCAGGAUGGCCCCUCACGGCUAGGGCUGCACACGUACUACAAUGCCUCGGUACAGAGGGACGCAAUACCGCGCAGGUGGAGCAAAUCCUAAAAACCGAGCCCAGUUCGGAUUGUAGUCUGCAACUCGCCUACCUACAUGAAGUUGGAACUCGCUAGUAAUGGCGCAUCAGCUACGGCGCCGUGAAUACGUUCCCGGGCCUUGUACACACCGCCCGUCACAUCAUGAAAGCCGGUUCGCCCGAAGUGUGUUUGCCAACCAGCAAUGGAGGCGGCACCACUAAGGUGAGGCUGGUGAUUGGGAUG
rnacentral:rRNA from 1 species